GUAACUGACCCUGAGGCGCGAAAGCGUGGGGAGCAAACACGUUUAGAUACCCUGGUAGUCCACGCCGUAAACGAUGAGUGCUAAUUGUUAGAGGGUUUCCGCCCUUUAGUGCUGAAGUUAACGCAUUAAGCACUCCGCCUGGGGAGUACGGCCGCAAGGCUGAAACUCAAAGGAAUUGACGGGGGCCCGCACAAGCGGUGGAGCAUGUGGUUUAAUUCGAAGCAACGCGAAGAACCUUACCAGGUCUUGACAUCCUCUGAAAACCCUAGAGAUAGGGCUUCUCCUUCGGGAGCAGAGUGACAGGUGGUGCAUGGUUGUCGUCAGCUCGUGUCGUGAGAUGUUGGGU
rnacentral:rRNA from 1 species